AAACCACGCAGCCUUUCCUUGCUGAUGGUUGAUGGUCUCAGUUUCAGCAAAUUUUAAUUCAUGAGAAUAUGAGAUGAUGUGAGAGGUGUUGCGUAAAGGUUAUAUUUCUCAAUUUUGUUCUUGUGUUAAUAGAUAGCGUACUGACCAUAGUAUGCAGAAAGUUUGACUAUAGAAAGGACAAUUAAAUAUGACAUCAUUGCUCUCACUAAUAUAGCUUAAUGACAGUAAUUGAGAAAGCACUGAAACUAAACCAUUACAAAUAAACUGAGAGACGGUCUUAUAAAUUAUUUUACAAGCUGCAGUCUUUAUUGCUUGUUAUACUUUCGUUGGUUGUACAGGAAGUUGUUUUAGCAUAUCAAAGCAGGUUGACUAAUGGACCUGCUAGGAAUUUUGUUACAUUAGGCACCGAAGAACAUGUUUCAAGAUACCUUCCAGAAGCUGCAACUUAGAUACCUACCAGAAGCUGCAACUCUCAUGUUAAUGAAUAUUUAUUCACAUGAUAUAACACAAUCGGGUAAGAUUAAUUAGGAGGGCAAGCUGCAGUAACUUUACUUGAAAAUGUUGAUACUUAUACAUGAGAGAAUGACCUACCUCGAUUAUGGAGUAACGGUUUUCAGGCUGUGGCUAAGACUACUAUUUGUUGUAUGUAGUAUUAAUGAUCAUGCUUGCAUUGUUAGGUGAUAAAUUUACCAAGAAAAGGAAGUCAAGAUAGCAUAUCCGAUGGCAAUGUUCCAUGCAAUUGUUUUUGACAACUUCUGGUUGGCUGCUCAAUCUGUUAUGUGGUACCAACCACCUAGCUACGUGCUCAGUAAUUGUGUUUCAGUAGUUUAGCACCACAAACUGCAAAAUAUUGGUUGCUAUCAAUUUGAUAGUUUUUAGCCUAUAGUUGUUGCCUUCAUGAGUAAUGCACAGUCAACUGAAUAUCACUGAUGACUGCUCUAAUUUUUGUCUCAAUUAGUUGCCCCUAGGUAGUAGAAUUACUUCGAAAGUAUAGUCAGUAGCUUACGUUCUGAUGUCCCAAAAAACACCAUCCUCGUUCGUCGGCACACAGGAGGUUGCAGGUGUGUACACAACGUGCUUGCGUAAAUGUCAAUGGGCAAUAGUGUUAGUUUUUUACAAGUAUUGGUUGAGGAGAGUGAAAUAUAUGCAGAUUUAAUGUCAUAUAGUUCUUAGUUUCUUUUUACAUAUCUCAGGCUGUAGUAUCCCGAUGGUUCAAUUUCUGCCUCACCACUUGACCUCCUGUAUAUUGAUUUUCAGGAUAAGCUGAUGGAUGUUGGAUUUGGGCAGACAUUAGAUGAAAUUAGAUAAGAUGUUGGUGGCAUUUUGUAACUGCGUCUAUCUUCCACGGAAGCAACAGGUAAUGCAAGGCUAACACCAUCACAUUAUCCACCUCUGCUUUGUGACAGUGUGACACCGAUUGGUUUAUGCAUUCAAAAAGUGGUCCAGCAUUUGCAAUAGACUUUAUUAUGAUAGUUUUAUGGUUCUUUUGACAUGUGUUGCAGACCUCAGUUAAUAUAGUUAAUAUUAGGUGCGUCUUUUGAGGUCAUUAUCUGCGAAUAUUAGAUGCGUUUUCAUUUCAAAGAUUUUCUAAGCAUAUUUAAGAUAUUACAUGAUUUCAGUGGAUGGUUGGUCUAUGAUAGGUUAACUCUAUAAAUGCAUAAUUUUACAUAUAAUAGUUUUUUAUACAAGGUUGAUAUACUGUUUUACAAAUUGUUUCUCAAUGCGAAAAGCCGGGAGCCGCGUUCCAAGGCGUGCACCAAAUAUUAAAUUGAUUGCUCAAAAUUGUCAACCUUGAAUGAAGAUGAGCCUUGAAUUAUAUUUUGAACACCAUCUUGAUAAUUAGUAUUUCUCUGCCACCGGUGAAUAAGAGCAGAAACCCUUUUAUAAGGAAAUUAAUUUUACUCUAUAGUGUCCAUCUUAGUUUGCAAAAUAACAAAAUUCAUUUGCUCUUUUUUUUCGACACCACUGCCUACUCCAUAAGAAUACAUAUAAUCGGGAUACACAAUUUGUUUAUAUUUAAUGUCUCCCUUUAGGUACUUGCUACUUUUUGGGUAGCAAGUUAGGGUGGUCUAGCAGUGCCUGCCGCUUAUUAUGCGCAGAUUGAUCAUAUAUUUCCUAGGUUUUUUAGUAAUUCAGGUUUUCCCACAUUGAACAUACUGAAUCAAAUGAAAGAAGCCUGCAUAGUUAUAUGAUAGUUUGGUUUGCUCGAAAGAAUUAAAGGUUAAUAAAAUGCUAGACUACUAGGACUACAUUGUGUAUAUCUAAUGGUUUGGCUGGUCUCUCAUGCCUAUAUUUUUUUAAUCUACCUGCCUUGACAAGGUUCAUAGCAUAGUUCGGGUCCAGCCAGGUAAAUAGCUGAGUACCAUUUGUAACAUGAAUGCAUUUUAUUUUUGCUCUUGUCCUUCAUCACCUAUUGCUGGUCCAAGUUCCAUUUCCUGAAUUGCUUAGUGUUGUAUAGUUGAGGACAUGCAAACCAUCUGGAAGCUCAGUUAUGUUUAAUCUUACAUGUAAGAUUUGCAGGUUUUCGGCCACGACUUUUACCUACACGGCUUGCUGCACGCUAGGACCUAAAGUUACCCUUGAUUUUCUGGCUUCAUCAGAGAAAGUUCUUGGAAGGCAGUUGUCGCAUAAAGCUCAGGCGGAUGUGGCGGCCAAGAAGAAGAAUGCCUAAAUAAAAAGCAGGGGUCUUUCUUUUGGUGACACAGAUUGCCAGUAGUUGUUUCCUUUCAGUUAUUUACUUACCGUGAGAUCCGAUGGUCGCAGUCCUCCCCUUUGUAGUUGGCAUGUAAAUAUGAACUAAGUUCCUGAUGCAGCGAUUACCUUGUGCACCUCGUGUGUAUGCUUGUUCUACCGUCUCCUAAUGCUAGCCAUGUGCGCAUGCUUUUGGUUCGUGCUGCUAUCAGCUGCUUCUAUGUAAUUUGUUCUAUCAUGUAAUGCCUUGCUCAGAAAAAGAACUAUUGUAAAUUCCUGAAACAAUGCUACUUUAUACUUAAUAGUGUGCAGUUCGCUCUA